UUCCUCUGUCAAUCUGCCUUUGUCGUGGGUCUGUAGCCUGAGGAAGAAAAAGCAGAUCCAAAAAAGGAUCUUAAAACAUUCGGUGCUCGCUUGCUUCUUCUUUUUUUUCUUUUUUAAGACAAGGUGCUUAAUGUAGAAGGUUUUUUUUAAAAGAAAAAAAAGAAAGAAAGAAACAGCAAGCUGGAACAACAGAAACUAAACACCGUUCUUAAGAGGCUGGAGAAAUCUUCCAGAGGUGACGCAGCCAUAUGCCAGGAGUGUGGGCAGGGGCCCCCCACCGCUGUCCCUGAAGGAACACUAUCUGUGUCCGUGGGUGCUGCUUUGCGGAGGGGAGACAAGCAGGACGACGAGUUUGUGGCGGAUCUCCCAAACAGCUCACUUCCCGAGCGGACGACGAGGAAAUAAAAUACAGCGCUGGUUCGCGUGGUGGAUUUUAACCCCGGAUUAAAACUGGUUGCAUAAGCAGCUGCAGCAUCCUCCCCCUCCCCCCUGCCCCCCCACCCCGAUCACUUGAUCACUUGAAAUGUUUUCUGGGGCAAAGAGCAGGAAGCUGCUGGCUUAUUCUGGCAGCUCCACUCUGUUUGAGGAAUGCUGCUGGCAUUCAAGUAGGUCUGAGGUUAUCUGGAAAACAGCAAUUCGGCUGGGGACAGAGACAAAGGUAUGGUGGCAGAUGGAAUCCUGGGAGGGACGCGGAUUGAAAAAGGAAGCCCAGGGCAGGCCUACUAAGGGCCAGUUCCCAGGGUUUGAUGGAAUGUGGCUGAUAAGCAGGGAAUAAAGAAAACCAAAUGCUGCUGGCUUCAAUCGAGAGAUUACCCAGUGGGCCCCUCUCAAACCCCCCACUGCACAGAGUAAUCUCAGCAGCUUCUGCAUGCUCGCCCUGGGCCUGGCGCUGGCUAAAUCAGCAUUUUACACAGACUGACUCCAUGAAGUGGGGAGCAUUGUUUGAGAGCUGGAACUGAGCCCAGAGAGGUGAAGUGAACUGCCCAGCAUCACACAGCAAGCCAGUGCUGGAGGUCAGAUUCCCAACCCAGUGAAGACGUCAUAUCCCUAAACCCUGUACUUGUGCCUGCCUCUAAAGAAAAGAAAGAAGCUGAACGAAGCAGAGCAGAAACAAGGUUAAAAUCUACCAACGGUGA